AUAACCUAGUAGAAUUUUGGUAGAAGCUAUGAAUGGCUACAGAAACCUUGAAGAAAUUCACUGGAUCAGCAAUUCUCCAACGCUGUGACACUCUUGCUACUUUCCCCAGACCUGAAGAAGAGCGCUUGUAGUGCUAAAGCUUGUCUCUGUCACCAUGAUAAGUUGGUUCAACAAAAGACACUGCCUCACCUCCACCGUGUCUAAUUUCUGACUUAUCUUGCCGUCUAAUAUCCAGCAAAUGCAGGUUACCAAUGAUCGGAAGAGGAG